UUUUUUCUCUCUCUCCCUCUCCUAUUCCUGAAAGUACUUUCAGCUUUUUCUCUCUCUCUCACCAUCAGACUUUCCCUUUACUCUCUGUUCAUAAACCAUGGUUCGAUCUCUCUGUGUAUUAUUAUCAUCCAUCUCAUCAUCUUCUUCCUUUCAUCAUCUUCACCCAUGUCUCUCUCUCUCUAUUUUUCUCUUCAUCUUCCAUAGUUUCUCUUCCAAAUGUUAACCAUCUUUCUUCGCCUAUCACUUUUUAAAUCCUUGCUCUUGCUCUUGCUCCGAUCGAGAGGGGAGAGAAUGAGAUUGAAAAAAACAGAGAGAGAGAGAGAAAAGGAUGAUGAUUAGAAUGAUGAUGAGAGAUGAUCCAGAAGAAAGAGGAAGCCCUUGCAAACCAAAAUUUACUUAAUUUCAACUGUCCAAUAAACAUCUUAAUCCUGUUCCUCUAAUUUUUUAUUCUCUAUGUCAUUUUCCCCCUUGACUCAUAUUCUCUCUUUGUCUCUUCGACUUUCAGUCUCCACUUGAUUCUCAUCGGUUGUGUUUCCCACCAAUAAACAUCCUAAUCACUAAUCAUUUGGUUAAUUUUAGCUUUUUGUUAAAGUGAAUACACCUUGUAAUCGAUUAUCUUAUCUCCAUGUUUAAUCUACAUGAUGAUCCCACCUAAACAUUUGAAUAGUUCCUAUCGAUUCAUAUCCAUGUCAUUAUCCUUUUUUCAUCAACGAUUAGAAUAAUAAUUCACUUGUUAUUUUUUUCUUCUUCUUCUUUUGGGUUCUUUUCCUGUUCCAACCCGAGGUUUUGUUCACUUCAUUAAUUUCACAUUCUCUUCAUCUCCUAUUCUUGAUUCUAUCUUUUCCAUACUCUCAGUGAUUUAACUUCUCAUCUUCUAAUUUAAGUUAAUCAAAUGUAAUUUCAAUCUUUACACUUAAUUAUUACUAAUUUAAUGUAAACAAUUCUAUAUUUAUCUUUAAUAGUCUUCAUUUUAUAUCUUCUAUCAGAAGUGGAAACUCAACAGUGAAAUGGUGUCUGAUUAUUCUGUCGCAAUUAUGGUUCCACUUUUCGAUUGAUGAUCAUCAUAAAUGUUUAUUAAUUAUCUUUGCUUGUCAAUGGUUUCUCUUAUUUCUCUCAAUACAUAUUCACCAUGAGAAUCAAUCUAACUGUUUUCUCACAACAGUAGUAUCGCAAUUAACUUAAUCAUUCGUUGAUCUUUGGCUUUUUAUUUUUUUCUCUCUCUUUCUCUCAACAUUCGGAUUCAAUUUAUCAUCAACAUCAUCAAGCCUUCCUCACUCAAUCAGGUGGUGGUGUGAGAACAGAUUAUGAAUUGUUGUUAUUGAUUAACUUAAUUUUUUUCUCUGUGUUUCUAAUUUCAUCACAACCUCCUUGAGUGAGUGAGGCUUUCACUCUAAUCAUCAUCUAUUAAAUAGUAACUAUUAACGAUAGUUUAUUAAUAAUAUACUAUCAAAAUCUUACUCUCUAUUUCCAUUAAGUGUUGUUACCAUGCAAAUUAAUUACUUAGGAAAUUUAGUCGAUUUAGAGACAAACAUCAAACGAAUCAUCAAGAAUCUCCGGAUGUAAUUUGAUGAAUUAAACAUUCCAUUGAUUUGCAUGAAUGAAUUAUGAGACCAUUCUAAUAAUUACAUUGGUCUUUUUUCAUCAAUUUAAAUUCAGUUAUUAACAAUGAACAAUAGGUAACUAUAAAUAGUAAU